rnacentral:rRNA from 1 species
AGAGUUUGAUCCUGGCUCAGGACGAACGCUUGCGGCGUGCCUAAGAAAUGCAAGUCGAGCGAGGUUGAGGCUUCGGCCAAAAACCUAGCGGCGAACGGUCGCGUAACACGUAAGCAACCUGCCCGAAAGACCGGGACAACAGUUCGAAAGGACUGCUAAUACCGGAUGUGCCUGUUGGGAGACAUCUCCUGGCAAGUAAAGCGAGCAAUCGGCUUUCGGAGGGGCUUGCGGCCUAUCAGCUAGAUGGCGGGGUAGUGGCCCACCAUGGCGACGACGGGUAGCUGGUCUGAGAGGAUGGUCAGCCGGACUGGGACUGAGAUACGGCCCAGACUCCUACGGGGGGCAGCAAUUAGGAAUCUUGCGCAAUGGGCGAAAGCCUGACGCAGCGACGCCGCGUGGAGGAGGAAGGCCUUCGGGUUGUAAACUCCUUUUUCGAGGGAAGAAACAAAUGACGGUACCUCGGGAAUAAGCCCCGGCUAACUCCGUGCCAGCCGCCGCGGUAAUUC